ensembl:lncRNA
UGAUAAUUGUAUGCUUUGUCUCUUUUUGUCUAUUAGGGGGUUAAAAGUGUCAGGAAAGUGGGUACCAUUGACCUUUAACCUUUUUCACAGAGCUGUUCAUAGUAGAGACCCUGAUGUAAGAAAGGGCUCUUUGUUACGGCCCUGGAGUAUCCACUCUCCUCAUGUACAACAGAGCGAGCUCUGACCUCAGUGUACUGGACCCCGCAGAUGCAUGUGACCUUCCCAUGAAGUGCAUUUGGAGAAGUCACACCGUGCUGCCACCAGUUCGGUUCUUGGAAAGCACGCCUCAAAAUUCAAUCACACACGAGCACCAUCCAGGCACCCAACUCCACCCCCUUGUUGACUUGAUUAAGGUCUUCGAGAGCCGGGUGUCAGGACUCUAUUGAGAUGUCGAAGGUGGGGGUCCGGUGACCCGAGCAGGGAGUCUUUCACGGGGAAGGUCAUCAGUCAAUGUUCCUGUCAGACGGAGAUCACACGGAUGUCUGCGGCCCUCCGUAGUAAUUACACUUGACUGGGGAUGAGGAGAUGUCUUCUUCUUUGGGCCUACAAUGACUGCAUAAUUUAUAAUCAACGGCAAUCAGGCAAACGUGACAUUGAGGGGAAAGCAAAUGAACACUU